GCAGAAAACUUUAUUACAGACGGAAUACUUGACACACUAUGUGAGCUUUGCCUGCUACGGAGACCACCACCUCUGCCUGCGGUAUCGCUCAAUGCCGCUAGCCGGGUAAGGGGACAUCAAAAUCCGAACUAGGUGGAAAGCUAACGCUAGCUGUGCACCUGUCCCAGA